AUUGAACGCUGGCGGCGUGCUUAACACAUGCAAGUCGAUCGGUAGCGCGGGGGCAACCCUGGCGACGAGAGGCGGACGGGUGAGGAACGCUUGGGAAUCUGCCCAUCAGCGGGGGACAACCCGGGGAAACCCGGGCUAAUACCGCAUACGCUCCACGGAGGAAAGCCGGGGACCGCAAGGCCUGGCACUGAUGGAUGAGCCCAAGUCGGAUUAGCUAGUUGGCGGGGUAACGGCCCACCAAGGCGACGAUCCGUAGCUGGUCUGAGAGGACGAUCAGCCACACUGGGACUGAGACACGGCCCAGACUCCUACGGGAGGCAGCAGUGGGGAAUAUUGGACAAUGGGGGAAACCCUGAUCCAGCGACGCCGCGUGGGUGAAGAAGGCCUGCGGGUUGUAAAGCCCUUUCGGUAGGGACGAAAGCUCUCGACCUAACACGUCGGGAGGAUGACUUAACCUACAAAAGAAGCACCGGCUAACUAUGUGCCAGCAGCCGCGGUAAAAC
rnacentral:rRNA from 1 species